rnacentral:snRNA from 1 species
GUGCUUGCUUCAGCAGUAUGUAUACUCAAACUGGAAUGAUACAGAGAAGAUAACAUGGUCCCUGCACAAGGAUGACAUGCAAAUUUAUGAAGCAUUCCAUAUUUAA